rnacentral:rRNA from 1 species
GGGGAAUAUUGGACAAUGGGCGAAAGCCUGAUCCAGCAACGCCGCGUGAGGGAUGACGGCCUUCGGGUUGUAAACCUCUUUCAGUAGGGACGAAGCGCAAGUGACGGUACCUACAGAAGAAGCACCGGCCAACUACGUGCCAGCAGCCGCGGUAAUACGUAGGGUGCGAGCGUUGUCCGGAAUUAUUGGGCGUAAAGGGCUCGUAGGCGGUUUGUUACGUCGGGAGUGAAAACCCAGGGCUCAACCCUGGGCCUGCUUCUGAUACGGGCAGACUAGAGGUAUGCAGGGGAGAACGGAAUUCCUGGUGUAGCGGUGAAAUGCGCAGAUAUCAGGAGGAACACCGGUGGCGAAGGCGGUUCUCUGGGCAUUACCUGACGCUGAGGAGCGAAAGUGUGGGGAGCGAAC